rnacentral:rRNA from 1 species
AUUGAACGCUGGCGGCAGGCCUAACACAUGCAAGUCGAAUGGUAACAGGAAACAGCUUGCUGUGUCGCUGACGAGUGGCGGACGGGUGAGGAAUGUCUGGGAAACUGCCUGAUGGAGGGGGAUAACUACUGGAAACGGUAGCUAAAACCGCAUAACGUCGCAAGACCAAAGAGGGGGACCUUCGGGCCCCUUGCCAUCAGAUGUGCGCUGGUGGAGUUAGUUAGUAGGUGGGGUAACGGCUCACCUAGGCUACGAUCCCUAGCUGGUCUGAGAGGAUGACCGGCCACACUGGAACUGAGACACGGUCCAGACUCCUACGGGAGGCAGCAGUGGGGAAUAUUGCACAAUGGGCGCAAGCCUGAUGCAGCCAUGCCGCGUGUAUGAAGAAGGCCUUCGGGUUGUAAAGUACUUUCAGCGGGGAGGAAGGGAGUAAAGUUAAUACCUUUGCUCAUUGACGUUACCCGAAGAAGAAGCACCGGCUAACUCCGUG